GAACGUCCUCUUUCUUUUCGGAGGAAGAGGGAGCGGCAGACGGGUGAGUAACGCGUGGGAACAUACCUUUUGGUUCGGAACAACCCCAGGGAAACUUGGGCUAAUACCGGAUAAGCCCUUACGGGGAAAGAUUUAUCGCCGAAAGAUUGGCCCGCGUCUGAUUAGCUAGUUGGUGAGGUAAUGGCUCACCAAGGCGACGAUCAGUAGCUGGUCUGAGAGGAUGAUCAGCCACAUUGGGACUGAGACACGGCCCAAACUCCUACGGGGGGCAGCAGUGGGGAAUAUUGGACAAUGGGCGCAAGCCUGAUCCAGCCAUGCCGCGUGAGUGAUGAAGGCCCUAGGGUUGUAAAGCUCUUUUGUGCGGGAAGAUAAUGACGGUACCGCAAGAAUAAGCCCCGGCUAACUUCGUG
rnacentral:rRNA from 1 species